GUCGAUCUGGUGUCUGCACUAAGAUCAAUGUCGGUAUGGUGUUUUGAAGGGAGCUCUGGACUACCAGGUUGCCUAAGGAGCGGUUCCCUGGCUCAGGGUGGGAACCAAGAAGGUCAAAGCCCCCGUACCAAUCAGUAGUGGGAUAGUGCCUGUGA
ensembl:misc_RNA Metazoa_SRP Metazoan signal recognition particle RNA